ACACAAAGCGACAAAUUCUGCUAACAAUCCAAGUGAACACAUAGGUGGGUUCUUCCCUGACCAUGAGACCACAGACCAGGCUGAUAAUUCAACUGCAGCUUAUUGAGUCCUGGAAGCAGAGAACCAAGAUCAGUUUGUUCCCAGACUCCUGACCCACAGAGACUGUGAGAAAAUAAAUGUGAAUUGUGUUAAGUCACUAAAUUCAUGGUCAUUUGUUACACGGCAUUAGAAAACUAAAAGGCAGCCGGAGAUGAGAAGAGAGAGGUUGUGCUAAGGAGCUCAGAUUUUAUUAAGUAGGUCGUGAGGAGCUCUCUCCAGGAGGAGCUCUCAACAAGGAAAUGCUACAGAAGUUCAGUUUUCAGAAGAUUGCUCUGACAACAAGCAGGGAGAGACUUCAAGGACAAGGCUGGAAGCCUCUCAUCUUCCCCUAAGCCAGGAAUACAAAUGAGCAUUUGACCUCAGACCAAGAAAAAUCAUGAAACAUGUAUUUAUUGAACAUCUACAGGAAGCUGUGGUCAGUGAAGAGGAAGACAGUAAGAAUUACAGAGCAUGGCCCCGGCCCUUAAAACACUGUGUCCAGUUGGGAAGCGAGGCUCAGAGGCAGACAAAGUGCUGACCACAUUUUAUAAGGGCUACCCAAGAAGGCUUCAUGGAAGAGGACAGAGUCCCAUCAUAAAUCAAGAACAUCUAUAUCAUCUCUUAUCAUCUAAUCCCUCUUCUCAUGAGACUUGUCCAGGACUGCUAAGUAAGGUGGUAGAAAAAGAAACAGGGUUCAAUAAAGAGAGUUUUGCAGGAAACCUGAUCCUAGAGAAGUGCAUGUCCAACUCACUUCAAGGAAAUCUGCACAUCAAAUCCCAUGUCUUAUGAGUUGAGCUGAAUACAGAAGCAAAACUGACUAAUCAAGAAUAAAAAGGCUACAGAUGGUAACUUG